rnacentral:rRNA from 2 species
GGCCAUAGGCUUGCCUGUGGCCACGUCUGUCCGAGCGUCGGC